rnacentral:rRNA from 1 species
GCCAGUAGCCAUAUCACCCUGCAACUCACAACUGGCAACCCAGUGAAGCCCAGCAGGUGUGAGCCUGGUCAGUAUCUGCAUGGGAGACCUCCUGGGAAAAACUAAGGCUGCUGCUGGAA